UACGGAGGGUGCAAGCGUUGUCCGGAUUUAUUGGGUUUAAAGGGUGCGUAGGCGGUCUUUUAAGUCAGUGGUGAAAUCCUCCAGCUUAACUGGAGAACUGCCAUUGAUACUGAAAGACUUGAGUACAGACGAGGUAGGCGGAAUUGACAGUGUAGCGGUGAAAUGCAUAGAUAUUGUCAAGAACUCCGAUUGCGAAGGCAGCUUACUAGACUGUAACUGACGCUGAGGCACGAAAGUGUGGGGAUCAAACAGG
rnacentral:rRNA from 1 species